AAUGAACGCUGGCGGCAUGCCUAACACAUGCAAGUCGAACGAAGCCUUCGGGCUUAGUGGCGCACGGGUGCGUAACGCGUGGGAAUCUGCCCUUGGGUUCGGAAUAACUCUCCGAAAGGAGUGCUAAUACCGGAUGAUGUCGAAAGACCAAAGAUUUAUCGCCCAGGGAUGAGCCCGCGUAGGAUUAGCUAGUUGGUGAGGUAAAAGCUCACCAAGGCGACGGUCCUUAGCUGGUCUGAGAGGAUGAUCAGCCACACUGGGACUGAGACACGGCCCAGACUCCUACGGGAGGCAGCAGUGGGGAAUAUUGGACAAUGGGCGAAAGCCUGAUCCAGUAAUGCCGCGUGAGUGAUGAAGGCCUUAGGGUUGUAAAGCUCUUUUACCCGGGAUGAUAAUGACAGUACCGGGAGAAUAAGCCCCGGCUAACUCCGUGCCAGCAGCCGCCGUAA
rnacentral:rRNA from 1 species